AUUGAACGCUGGCGGCAGGCCUAACACAUGCAAGUCGAGCGGAUGAAGGGAGCUUGCUCCUGGAUUCAGCGGCGGACGGGUGAGUAAUGCCUAGGAAUCUGCCUGGUAGUGGGGGAUAACGUCCGGAAACGGGCGCUAAUACCGCAUACGUCCUGAGGGAGAAAGUGGGGGAUCUUCGGACCUCACGCUAUCAGAUGAGCCUAGGUCGGAUUAGUUAGUUGGUGGGGUAAAGGCCUACCAAGGGGACGAUCCGUAACUGGUCUGAGAGGAUGAUCAGUCACACUGGAACUGAGACACGGUCCAGACUCCUACGGGAGGCAGCAGUGGGGAAUAUUGGACAAUGGGCGAAAGCCUGAUCCAGCCAUGCCGCGUGUGUGAAGAAGGUCUUCGGAUUGUAAAGCACUUUAAGUUGGGAGGAAGGGCAGUAAGUUAAUACCUUGCUGUUUUGACGUUACCAACAGAAUAAGCACCGGCUAACUUCGUG
rnacentral:rRNA from 1 species